rnacentral:rRNA from 1 species
AGUGAACGCUGGCGGUAGGCCUAACACAUGCAAGUCGAACGGCGGCACAGUAAGAGCUUGCUCUUACGGGUGGCGAGUGGCGGACGGGUGAGGAAUACAUCGGAAUCUACUUUUUCGUGGGGGAUAACGUAGGGAAACUUACGCUAAUACCGCAUACGACCUACGGGUGGAAGCAGGGGAUCUUCGGACCUUGCGCGAUUGAAUGAGCCGAUGUCGGAUUAGCUAGUUGGCGGGGUAAAGGCCCACCAAGGCGACGAUCCGUAGCUGGUCUGAGAGGAUGAUCAGCCACACUGAAACUGAGACACGGUCCAGACUCCUACGGGAGGCAGCAGUGGGGAAUAUUGGACAAUGGGCGCAAGCCUGAUCCAGCCAUACCGCGUGGGUGAAGAAGGCCUUCGGGUUGUAAAGCCCUUUUGUUGGGAAAGAAAAGCAGCAGGUUAAUACCCCGCUGUUCUGACGGGACCCAAAGAAUAAGCACCGGCUAACUUCG